rnacentral:ncRNA from 1 species
GCUAAACCGUUGAGAAAGAGGAGUAAGCUUCCAAUGCAUUAGCACAGAGAGCCGCAGGUGGUGGGAUUGCGGUAUAAGGCAGGCAGCUGAAUGGACUUUUGAGGGCAGUCUUGAAAUAUUUCAGUAGGGACUGACGGACUCUGCACCCGUUACAUUUGCAGCACAUAUGUUAGUAUGUGAAAAGUGGACUUUCAGUCAAUUUGAGUGGCACCGCGGAUCAUAUUCGUCUCAAUC